CCUACGGGAGGCAGCAGUGAGGAAUAUUGGUCAAUGGGCGCGAGCCUGAACCAGCCAAGUCGCGUGAGGGAAGACGGUCCUAUGGAUUGUAAACCUCUUUUGUCGGGGAGCAAAAGACGCCACGCGUGGGGUUCCGAGAGUACCCGAAUAAAAAGCAUCGGCUAACUCCGUGCCAGCAGCCGCGGUAAUACGGAGGAUGCGAGCGUUAUCCGGAUUUAAUGGGUUAAAAGGGUGCGCAGGCGGAAGAUCAAGUCAGCGGUAAAAUUGAGGGGCUCAACCUCUUCGAGCCGUUGAAACUUGUUUUCUUGAGUGAGUGAGAGGUAUGCGGAAUGCGUGGUGUAGCGGUGAAAUGCAUAGAUAUCACGAAGAACACCGAUUGCGAAGGCAGCAUACCGGCGCUCAACUGACGCUGAUGCACGAAAGUGUGGGUAUCGAACAGGAUUAGAUACCCUUGUAGUC
rnacentral:rRNA from 1 species